AACGAACGCUGGCGGCAUGCCUAACACAUGCAAGUCGAACGGGACCUUCGGGUCUAGUGGCGCACGGGUGCGUAACGCGUGGGAACCUGCCCUUAGGUUCGGAAUAACUCCCCGAAAGGGGUGCUAAUACCGGAUAAUGUCUUCGGACCAAAGAUUUAUCGCCUUUGGAUGGGCCCGCGUUGGAUUAGCUAGUUGGUAGGGUAAAAGCCUACCAAGGCGACGAUCCAUAGCUGGUCUGAGAGGAUGAUCAGCCACACUGGGACUGAGACACGGCCCAGACUCCUACGGGAGGCAGCAGUAGGGAAUAUUGGACAAUGGGCGAAAGCCUGAUCCAGCAAUGCCGCGGGAGUGAUGAAGGCCUUAGGGUUGUAAAGCUCUUUUACCCGGGAUGAUAAUGACAGUACCGGGAGAAUAAACUCCGGCUAACUCCGUG
rnacentral:rRNA from 1 species